rnacentral:rRNA from 1 species
UACGUAGGGGGCAAGCGUUGUCCGGAUUUACUGGGCGUAAAGAGCGCGUAGGCGGAAGCUUAAGUGUGGCCUGAAAGCCCCCGGCUCAACCGGGGAAGGUGGCUGCAAACUGGGCUUCUUGAGGGGGAUAGGGGAAAGUGGAAUUCCGGGUGUAGCGGUGAAAUGCGUAGAGAUCCGGAGGAACACCAGUGGCGAAGGCGGCUUUCUGGGUCCGCCCUGACGCUGAGGCGCGAAAGCGUGGGGAGCGAGCGGG